CUCUACGAUCCGGGCUCAUCGCGUUGUGGCGCGAAUCGCUUCCGCAAAAAGGUACGAACGAAUACUUCCGCUGCGUUCUACAUUGGUAUCAAAGACUUACUAGGUUGAUUUCGUGCCCUAUAUCAACUCUUUAACGAUAUUGCAUGCGUAAAAUUAAAUCUAUUAUAGUUUAGAUUUUUUUCUUGCAUGCUUAUGGGCGUUAAUGGCGGAUUUUUCAAAAGUGGAUAUUUUUGCUUGCUUUUCUCACAACUUAAAGCACCUAUAUUGUACAUUAGAUCUACAAAGUUUGAUUUAAUUUGGUUUUCUAUUUUAUGAGAAAAACAAAACCCUAAAUCGGAACUUUGGGGGUGGCUUGUUUGAUGUGUGAUGCAUAUCCCAUUGUGAAUCUUGCAUGAUUUGGAAGAGCUUCUCAUAAGCUUUCCAUUGAUAUAUUUCUUGUAAGAUUCGGAGUUCUAAAUCAUAAGUUAUGAAUUUUUGAAGUUUAUUUUUUUUUUUUAUAAAAAAAAAAAUUUGUUCGUUGUAAACCACGCGGCUUGGAGUCGCGUGGGGGCGCACGCGCACCGGGCGUAAGCCGUGCGGACCGCACGAUGGCCGCACGCCGCGCGCAGGCCACACGGGUGGCACUGGCGCGGCCAGCGCAGCCGCGUGCUGCCGCGGUGCGGGAGGCCGCUGCGAGCCACGCAUGCUGGGCGGCCGCGCGCUGGCCUCAUGCAGGCCGCGCGCAGGCCUCGCAGGCCGUGCAUACGCGGGCCGCGCGGGUAGGGCAUGGACCUUGCGGGCCACGCCCAGGCCGGCGCACGCGGGCCCGGGCGAGCCUCGCAGGCCACCGUGCUAGCCCCGCGCAGGCCGGGUGCAAGCGGGCCUGCUGGCUGCGCAGGCGAGCGGCGCCGUGAGGUGCGCCAACUAUGCGCUACGCGGGCCGCGCGCGAGCAAGCGCGCGAGGGCCGCGCGCUGGCCCCGCGCAGGCCGUGAGCACAAGGGCCUUCUGGGCCGCGCUCGCAGCGCGGGCCACUUAGGUGCGCGGGCCGCGUGCUAGGGCCGGCCGUGCGUGCCAGGCCGCGAGCGGGUCCGCAGACUGCACGGGCCUGCAGAAAUUUAUUUUCUUUCGUUUUCUGCACCAAUUUUUUAAAUAAAUAAAUUUUUAUUUUUAAGCAUAUUAGAUGACUUAAUAUGCAUUUGUGAUAUAUGUUGCAUGCAUUUAUUAAAUUGAUUCAAUAUGCUUUUGUGACAUAUUAGCAUAUUAUAAUGCCUUUUAUGAUGUAUAGAUAAAAUGUUUAGGCAUAAUAUGCAUGCCUUGUCAAGUGGGAAUCUUUUAUUUUUGGUAAAGUAAAUUAUAUGCUUUUACUCCCAAAUAUCUUGUGCAUCUUAAUUAAAUAAUUAAAAAUCUUGACAUAUGGUGUGUGAUGUGAUUAUGAGCAUAGCGAAAUUUUCCUUUACGCAUCUAUGAUCUAAUUUUUAAUUUAUUUAAUUAGAGAUGCGGCAAAAUUGAAUACAUGUAUCGUGUACUAAUCACAUUUAAUGAUAGCUUCUAGGGCAAAAUUUUCUUUACAAUUGAUCCAUUCCGACAUUUGUGACCCAAUGAGUGUGAGGGCAAGACAUGGUGCUUUUUACUUCAUCAUAUUUAUAGAUGACCAUACGUACUUCGGUCAUGUUUAUCAGAUGUCCCACAAGUCUGAAGCAUUGGAUUGUUUUAGACGUUAUAUUAAUGAGGUUGAGAAUCAGUUAAAUAUGAAUAUUAAAAUCUUAAGAACUGAUCGAGGCCGCGAGUAUCUAUCAGAACAAUUCAAAGAAUUGUGUGAUGAAAAGGGAAUAAUCAGACAGCUGACAAUUCCUAGCAUUCCGCAGCAAAAUGGUGUAGCGGAGAGAAGAAAUUGCGCCUUACUUGACAUGGUUAGGUCAAUGAUGGCGCAAGCAAAUUUGCCUAUCUUCUUUUGGGGAGACGCAUUGUUAACUACUGCCUACAUUCUUAAUCGUGUACCCUCCAAAACAGUACCUUCCACCCCUUAUGAAUUAUGGACAGGCAGGAAAUCAAAUUUGGAGCACCUGUGUCCUUGGGGUUCGACAGCUAAUGUACACAACACUUCUCACAAGCAUGAGAAGUUGGGUCCUAGAGGAAAGAAGUAUCUUUAUAAGAUACCCUGAACACUCUAAGGCAAGGUUUUAAGUGCCGCCCGUGACGAGCGGCACGGAAGCGUGCCGUACCGUGCCCCCAAGAAGGGGGCACGGUACAGGGGGGGUCUCGGACCCCCCCUCUGUCUCGCGGCACGCACAUACGUGCCGCUCGAGACAAAGCGGCACGCAGGUGCGUGCCGGCGGCACGUACCGUGCGUGCCGCUUUUUUUUUUCUUUUUUUCAUUUUUUUUUCCUUUUUGGCUUUUUUUUUGGCUUUUUUUUUUCUUUUGUUCUCUGGGGUAUCGAGUCCCUCUCGGACCACUUAUAUUGUCUUUUUAAUUGAUAUAUCCGAUCCAUACCGCGGGGGGCUACGGGCUCGAGCCUGUCGGCCUGAGCCCUCCGCUUCCACCACAGACAUCCAUUUUUUUUUCGCAAAAUAUUUUUUCAAAAUUUGUCGCACCGCGAAGCUUUCAGUGAAUCAAGAGAACAAAAAUCGAUCUCCUAAACAAAUUUUGAUAAGAUAUUUUUAAAAAGAACAAAAAAUAUGGAUGUAAAAUCGGGAAUAUAUGACUUUCUCACAAUACCAGCAAUAUUUAUAUCAAUAUUGUCAAAUAAAUCUUGUAUCUUCAUAUGACAAUAUUCUAUAUGAUCAAACGCGACGAUCUAUGUCGAAUUAAGCAGUCAUCUCUAUAUAAAGAUGUAAAUUUAAAUAAUUAUUAUACUUGUGAAGGAUAAGGUGAAUCGGAUUCCAUAUGCUAGUGCGGUCGGGAGCCUAAUAUAUGCUAUGAUGUGUAUUCGGCCUGAUAUAUGCUAUGCUAUGGGGUUAGCCAUUUUCAGUCCAAUCUGGGAUUGGACCACUCCGAGGCAAUUGCGCAGAAGUAAAUAAUCCUGGAACACAUUUCUACGAGUCGCAUGGUUGCAGAUUCUCUGAGUAAGCUUAUUAUUAGAGAAUCCUUUUGGCUCAUGGACUCCGUAGAAUUUGAUUGUGUAGACAGUCGAUUAUUUUUGGUUAUUUAAUUACAAAUUAUGAUUGUGGCAAAGAUAUUUGGUAAAAUUAGUACACGUUCAUAUAUUUCCUAUAUUGUUAUUGAACGGAUUGAUAGUAUGUCGCAGGCCGAUUGGCCCUCUCACGCGGGCAAUCAUACUUUUCGACGUUGUAGAAAGCGAGCGAAAAUUGAAGGAUUAAUGGAAGCCGCCUUGGUUGGCACCAAGAUAAGGUCAUUAAUAAGACCGCAUACGAAUAGUCCCACGAAUCGUAUGGCCUGUAUAUUAAGAGUCGGAUGUGAGCUUACCGUUUGGCGCUUGAGAUAGCGAGCAAAUGAAGAACUCAGGCUAGACACUCCGGGAGUGUCUGCGCUAAGAUCCGUAUGACAUUGAGAAAGACAUACGCUUAUUGAGAUUCUCUGUCAUAGCAUGUAUUUCAUACUACAUGUGCUGGGCGACCAAAUAAAGAAGAGUGAAUGGAUCCCUGCUUCCUCAUCGUGUGAGUUCUUACGGGCAUCAUUUUGAGACAAUGUCCUAGAUAUGUUAGAUGCCCUUAGUGACUUUUGACUAUGUCAUUAAGUGAAAGAAUUGAUGUUGCUACUUUGGCAUGUUUCCUACGGCUAUGAGUGAUGCAGCUUUACGGGGCAUUGCUUGGAAAGCAAUCAGUUCCCAACUCAGUGGCAUGAGGCCUCAAGGAAGACUAGUUGAAUUACAUUCAGACACUUUGACUCAUUGUCGACAGGUUGUGUCGCUUCAGGAUAGCGAAACAAUCAUAAGUAUAGUGUCAUAUUGUGCGCAACAGAGGUUAGCAUGGCUCUUUGAGAGAUUAGAAAUGCUGAACCUAAUGUAAUUCAAUGGUCUAGGGCAUCACGAGUCUAAUAUUUCUUUUUGAGGGUUGAUGUCUCUAUGCUGGCCGUAUACUGUUUCUAGUAUAGCGCUCCCAAAAUGCAGGUUGACUCGGUGGUCGCACUGUUCAUUUUUCUGUAUGAAUAGAAUUAAUAGUGGUGUAAUGUUGAGGAAGUGGUUACGAUGGCAUCGCUCCCGUCAUGUGCGAGUGGGAGAUGUUGGCAUUCGGUUAAUCGAAUCGGGUGUGCCCAUGAUCGGUCUCGAUCCGACGAUUAUUAUGUUAUCUAAUUGGAUUAAGAUUAAUCUCGCUUUUAAAUUGGAAAGCUAUUUAGAGAUAAAAUCUAAUCAUAUUAGGAUAACAAUUAAUAACCGAUUUGGUCUUAUCUCUUGCGCACCUAUUAGGAUUUUGGAAUCCUUUAUAAAUAUACGAGCGAUCCCACAUAAAACGAUAAACGGAAAAAGAAAGAGAAUAAGAAAACAAAAAGAGAAAAACCACAUCCUCCAUUAACCUAUUAUUCUAAAGGGACUUGAACGGUGGAUUUGCGAUCGUGCUCGUUUGUAGUUCGAUCCACCGCGAGUUCGGAGCGUUAGAAGACCUUCAAAGGACGAUCCAAGGACACGUGAAUCAACCUCUACGAUCCGGGCUCGUCGCGUUGUGGCGCGAAUUGCUUCCGCAAAAAGGUACGAACGAAUACUUCCGCUGCGUUCUACACUUAUAAAAAAAUAUAUAUAUAUUUUUUUGCAAAAUUAAUAUAUUAUAUUUUAAUGAAUACGUAUUGUUAUACUAAAAAAUAUUAUAUUUUAUUAUUCGUGUCCAUGUCCUUAUAUUUUGAAAUUUGCCAGCCGUGUCCGAGUCGU
rnacentral:lncRNA from 1 species